rnacentral:sRNA from 1 species
AAACACACUAGAAGAGGGCAUCAGAUCCCAUUACAGAUGGUUGUGAGCCACCAUGUGGUUGCUGGGAAUUGAACUCAGGACCUCUGGAAGAGCAGUCAGUGCUCUUAACCGCUGAGCCAUCUCUCCAGCCCAUAAAAUAACUUUUUAAAAGGUAGAGAAAAAUACCAAGCAGCCUCUGGGCUACAGGUGCACACAAAAUGGACACAGGUUUGACAGCUCUAAAGAGUUGGGCUCUUCUCCAGAGUAAAAACCAAAUUCAUUGUGUCUUUCCACUGGGUCCCCUAGUGGAAGAUCAGAGAAUGUGGAUGACGAUCAGCUUCUCUUCCAUUUCUAAAACUGGAGGGGACAAGUGUCCCCUCACAGUCCAUUGUCAAAGUCAGCUGUGUGCUUAGCCACAACCAAAAUACAAAGGAAAUAGGGGAGUAAACUGCUCACAGGAUGUUUUCUCCAUGGCUUCACCCAUGGUUUGGAAGUGGGGAAGUGAGACUGAGUGCUGGCUUUCCAAGUUGGUCUAGGUGAGUAUGGGUAGUGAAGAAUGUCCCCCAGAGAGAGCAGCAAACUGUGGACCACACCCCAAGACCAUGCUCUAGGCACAUGUAUACUGCCAUUGCUGUCCCUCACUGAAACCAUAGGUCUGCCUCAGACAAAGCAGUGGAGUUAGGGAUCCCUGACCAUUAGACUCAGCACUAUCUGGGCCCAGUUGAUUUGGCUUGGACCUUACAUGCAGGGUAUGUUUCCGAGCCUCAGUCUCAGGUCAGAUCUUCAACAGUCUUCAGUGAUCACUGAGGGAAGAGCUGGGAUAGGGCACUGGGUUCUGGGGUCAAGUUUAAUUUGCUCUCCCAGGGCCUGCCCUUAGCCAUUCCACCCAGCCACACUAUCUUCUGCCCAGAAGCCAUACCAACUCCACGAAUACAUAAGUCGAUACAUCCUCGUGUUCUCUCCCAGGUCCUGUUCAAACCAACUUUGUUUCAUGGGCCUCUGCUGUGUUUUCUUCAGGCUCAGUGUAAUCUAGAGCACCUCCUGCAGCUCCCACACAGAGCCUAGGCCCAUUGCUACUAGGGCCUUUUGAAUGUGACCUAUCUAGAAACUGUAGAUGGUGCUAUGGUGCCAGAGGUCAGUUCCUGGGCCCCAAGACCACUUGCCAUCAGAAUGGUUGUAUUAUCUAAUACUGCCUGUCCCUGGUUCCCUCGGUCAAUAUGUAUUGAGUGUCUUUGUUUUGCACUGUGCAAAGUUCUGGAGGCACACUAAACCUAUAACUUCUUAAACAAAUCUCUUACUUCAAGAAGGAAAGGAAGCUUGUCCCUAGCCUCUGCCUUUGAGGAAGGAAUCUAGAAAGGAAUUCAGUUCUGGGCAUGUGCUGAGGAUGUUGGAUUGUUGGAAAGGUGGGCUUCUGGGCAGAGAUUGGUAUUAAAAUUCUCUGGCCUCAGUUUUCUGUCAAAGGGAUUUAGUGACUGUCAGUAUAGCCUUAAAGAGAAGUGGGAAGGAAGGGAUGGUGCCUACCUUGGGCUGAGUUGCCUGAAUGGUUAUGCUACCUGCAUUUACAUCCAUGCCUGGCACACAGGUGUAGCUGUGGUCAGGAAGACAACUCUGGUGUAGCUGAGACACCGUCAGUGCCAAUCCAGGAGGUGGCUCGAUGUUUGCCCUGCAUAGCUUCCAUGCCCAGCAUCACAGAAAAGAAAGAAAAGAAAAAGGGCCUAGAGUGACAUCUAGAGGCUGUGGCUUGCUGGGGCUGAUGCCUGUUCCUGCCACCAGGUGGGGCCUGUAGCAGGAGAGCUUGGCUUGAGGGAUUAAUGGCUAACCACCCUACUGACUUACCUGGUGUUGUCAUGUGCCGAAUACCCUAUGGCCCAGGCUCUAUUCCUAGAUCAAUGUGAGCUGGACAUACAGACAAAGCAGCCUCUGCCUGAGUCCAAGCAUUGGAGUGGCAGACUAAGUGUUGUGGUGCCCCAUUUCUGCUUCUUCCAGAGCAGAAUUGACAACAGGACUGUACCUGAGUGGUUAGAAUCCCAAGAGCAAGUUUCCCCUUGGUCACUAGGCAUCACUUUCUAGUUUCAGUUUUUUCUUCUGUACAACAAAGGCAGCCACGGUGAUGAGGCUCUGAAUGAACUCAUGGUCAUCCCCACAAAAGGGGAUCAAUCUGGGAUGAAGGGGAGCCCUAAAAGCCCUGUUUCAGAGUGGGCCAUCAGAAACCUCAGGAUGGGUGGGGUAAAGCAGGUGCUGUAUCCUAGAAGCAGGUUUGAGUCCUUUCCUGAUCCCAACAUAGUAAUUGCCUAUGUAUUAGUGAGUAGGGCAGAUAAGACCAGUGAUUGGAUCCAGGGACCAUAUGUAUGUGAGAAUUGCUUUGCCACAGUGACAGAGGAACAUUUCUAAGUAGAACCCAGGGAUACUGUUCAACAUACUUAGUAUGUACAGGACCCACCAGCCCUGAACUGCAGCCAACAGUGGCCAUGAUGUAACAGUGAUCAAUCAAGGUGAGUAGAGUGGGACAAGCCUAUUAUUCCAGCACUCUAGAUGCUGAGACAGGAGGAACUCGAGUUUGCCCAGCCUGGGCAACAUAGUGAGAGACUCACAAUUUUACAAAUAUAAAUAGAUAUAGAACUGAAUCCUGAGCUGGGGAUGUAUUGCAGUUGGUAGAGUGCUUAUGUAGCAUGCAUAAUACCUUGGAUUUGAGCCCCAUAAUUAUGUUGUGGUAAGACAGGCCUGUAAUACCAGCACUUGGGAGUUGGAGGUAGGAACAUCUGAAAUUCAAGGCCAUCCUCAACUACAAAGAGAGUUUAGGGCCAGCCUGGGCUUCGUGAAACCUUGUCUCACAAAAUGGCAUCAAAAAGCAUUGGAUUCACACAAGACACAAGCAAUAGAGGAUAUGUAAGUGUGUUCGGUCUCAGUGUACCAUUUGAACUUGUCCUAGAGUUGGACAUCCCUGAAACAAACCUGGCAGAGGGCUGUGGGUUCUCUCUGUGUGAUUUCUUAAAAUUGCAUGUGAAAUCUAAAAUGACCUCAAAAUACGGGGAGUUGGUGAAUGCGCACACCAUCAACCAAGGUUCAGAGCAGACAACUUGAUUGGCCUGGGGUGGGUGUGGACUUAAAGUAGACAGCUAGGGCUGAGAGUCACUGUCCACUUUGGUUGUAGGGUGAGCAUGGAUGUGCAGGCCUUGUUCAGAUCAAUCUGGACAUGCUGGGUUCUUCCAGGUCUGGUAUUAAUCAAUAAUCUGUUACUUUCUCUGUCAUUUUCCACCUGUAGAGGAAUCUAGAUUGGGCACCUUGUGGCACAUUGAAGGCCCCUGGGUCUCUGUCAUCUACCGCCACUGCAGGAUCUAUGUCUCGCUCCAAGGGGGCUGUCAAAGAGUCCCAACCCAGACCAGGUACUUAGCUCUGGCUGGCCAGGCACAGACUACGUAGACCAUUCCUUGCAUUCAAAUAUCUGCUUUCCUCCUGAGUCUGGUCUUAAGUACCAGGCCUCACCUGAAGGAUGAUGGUGAUUAAGGACCACAGUAUGGUGCAGCCCCACAUGGGUGACGGAGACCCUCUUACAGAGACCAUCCUCGGUUGCCAACUGAAGCUGCAGCAAGUUCCAGCCAAGGAGGAUUUCCUGGCCUCUGUCCUGCCCACAAUGCCCACCUGCCAGAUAAUAGGAGGGUGAAAGGCUCCUGGUUUGCUACUAGCACCUCUGUAUUGGACAUGCUCUGGAUGUGUCUCUCAGGAGAGAUCUAUAUCCAGUCCC